rnacentral:rRNA from 1 species
AGAGUUUGAUCAUGGCUCAGAUUGAACGCUGGCGGCAGGCCUAACACAUGCAAGUCGAGCGGUAGCACAGAGAGCUUGCUCUCGGGUGACGAGCGGCGGACGGGUGAGUAAUGUCUGGGAAACUGCCUGAUGGAGGGGGAUAACUACUGGAAACGGUAGCUAAUACCGCAUAACGUCGCAAGACCAAAGUGGGGGACCUUCGGGCCUCAUGCCAUCAGAUGUGCCCAGAUGGGAUUAGCUAGUAGGUGGGGUAACGGCUCACCUAGGCGACGAUCCCUAGCUGGUCUGAGAGGAUGACCAGCCACACUGGAACUGAGACACGGUCCAGACUCCUACGGGAGGCAGCAGUGGGGAAUAUUGCACAAUGGGCGCAAGCCUGAUGCAGCCAUGCCGCGUGUGUGAAGAAGGCCUUCGGGUUGUAAAGCACUUUCAGCGGGGAGGAAGGCGUUAAGGUUAAUAACCUCAUCGAUUGACGUUACCCGCAGAAGAAGCACCGGCUAACUCCGUGCCAGCAGCCGCGGUAAUACGGAGGGUGCAAGCGUUAAUCGGAAUUACUGGGCGUAAAGCGCACGCAGGCGGUCUGUCAAGUCGGAUGUGAAAUCCCCGGGCUCAACCUGGGAACUGCAUUCGAAACUGGCAGGCUAGAGUCUUGUAGAGGGGGGUAGAAUUCCAGGUGUAGCGGUGAAAUGCGUAGAGAUCUGGAGGAAUACCGGUGGCGAAGGCGGCCCCCUGGACAAAGACUGACGCUCAGGUGCGAAAGCGUGGGGAGCAAACAGGAUUAGAUACCCUGGUAGUCCACGCCGUAAACGAUGUCGAUUUGGAGGUUGUGCCCUUGAGGCGUGGCUUCCGGAGCUAACGCGUUAAAUCGACCGCCUGGGGAGUACGGCCGCAAGGUUAAAACUCAAAUGAAUUGACGGGGGCCCGCACAAGCGGUGGAGCAUGUGGUUUAAUUCGAUGCAACGCGAAGAACCUUACCUGGUCUUGACAUCCACAGAACUUAGCAGAGAUGCUUUGGUGCCUUCGGGAACUGUGAGACAGGUGCUGCAUGGCUGUCGUCAGCUCGUGUUGUGAAAUGUUGGGUUAAGUCCCGCAACGAGCGCAACCCUUAUCCUUUGUUGCCAGCGGU